GGAGAUAGCUCAGGGGCAGAGUGCCUGCCUAGCAUGCAGGAGGUCCUGGGUUCAACCCCCAGUACCUCCA
rnacentral:tRNA from 1 species